rnacentral:rRNA from 1 species
ACGGAAGGCAGCAGUAGGGAAUAUUGCACAAUGGGGGAAACCCUGAUGCAGCAACGCCACGUGUGGGAAGAAGCAUUUCGGUGUGUAAACCACUGUCGUGAGGGAAUAAUGUUGCGUUUCGGCGCAAUUGAAUGUACCUCGAAAGGAAGCACCGGCAAACUUCGUGCCAGCAGCCGCGGUAAUACGAGGGGUGCAAGCGUUGUUCGGAAUCACUGGGCGUAAAGGGAGCGUAGGCGGAGACGCAAGCAGUCUGUACAAUACCGGGGCCCAACCCCGGACCUGCAGACUGGACUGUGUCUCUUGGAUAGUUCAGGGGCAGGCGGAAUUCCUGGUGUAGCGGUGGAAUGCGUAGAGAUCAGGAAGAACACCGAUGGCGAAGGCAGCCUGCUGGGGACUCAUCGACGCUGAGGCUCGAAAGUGCGGGUAGCAAACAGGAUUAGAUACUCGGUA